UUGGCCCUCCGGUUUUCCAACCCGGAAAUGGCAUGCGCUAGGAAUUCACAGCACUCCCGAAGAUGGCGGGGGUGUUUGAGGUGGAGGUUGAUGGUGUAGAACACGAUCAUGGACUCGGACACCACGAUGAACCAAAUCAGGUCGACCUAUCCCAUCUGUCACCGGAGGAGAAGUGGAGGUUGGAGCAUGCCAGGAUGCAUGCGAAACACAAGGGCCAUGAGUCCAUGCACGCUGAGAUGGUGCUUAUCCUCAUUGUCACCCUGGUCAUCGCCCAGCUGGUCCUUGUGCAAUGGAAACAGAGGCACCCCAAGUCCUACAAUCUGGUGACUCUGUUCCAGAUGUGGGUGGUUCCUCUGUACUUCACCACCAAGCUUCACUGGUGGAGGUUUCUGGUCACGUGGUUCAUCUUCUCUGUGGUCACUGCAUACGUUACCUACCGUGCCACACGCAAGCCCCUGGUGUGCACCACGCCCAGGCUGGUCUAUAAAUGGUUCCUCCUCCUCUACAAGAUCAGCUAUGCCACAGGGAUAGUGGGCUACACUGUCGUCAUGUUUACACUGUUUGGCAUCAACUUGAUAUUUAGAAUAAAGCCAGAGGACGCAAUGGAUUUUGGCGUGUCCUUGCUGUUCUAUGGUCUGUACUAUGGCGUCCUGGGUAGGGACUUUGCCGAAAUGUGUGCAGACUUCAUGGCAUCGACAGUGGGGUACUACAGUGCGUCUGGAAUGCCCACCAAGCACCUCUCAGACAGUAUCUGCGCUGUGUGUGGCCAGCCCAUACUGGUUGAUGUCAGCGAAGAGGGAAUCAUCGAGAACACAUACAGACUAUCCUGCAACCAUGUAUUCCAUGAAUUCUGCAUACGAGGAUGGUGCAUCGUGGGAAAGAAGCAGAUAUGCCCGUACUGCAAAGAGAAGGUGGACCUGAAAAGGAUGUUCAGUAACCCCUGGGAGAGGCCACAUGUCAUGUAUGGACAACUCCUGGACUGGCUCCGCUACCUUGUCGCUUGGCAACCAGUAAUCAUUGGACUUGUGCAAGGCAUCAACUACAUCCUGGGGCUGGAGUGACCUGGGAGAGUGGAGAAGGACACACAAGCCAUAUGGAGAUGGUAGAUAAUGCACUGGCCUGACUAGGAGGCUUCACCAUGGACUAUAAGAACAUCUAUUAUAAACUGUGUCUAUACAUGUACUAUUUGUAUAUAUUUAUAGGCACAUAGUAUCUGUAUUUAAGAUGUAUUAGAAUUUGACUAGUAACCUGGGUUUGGAUGUCUGUUUUAUUGUAUUUUUGUUCAGUCAAUCACAACUUUUUAAACAAAUGCAUUGUACAUUUCAUUGCUUAGUAAAAUGGUCCUCAGUUUUUUGGAGAUGCUUUUUCAAAGGUAAUUUGUCUUAAGUUUUGGUUUCUACAGUAAUGAGUGGCUAACACGGCCCAGAUAUGUGAGUGGAGCGUUGUAGAGUGCCGGUCUUCGUUUUGUGUGUUAAAUCUGCACCUUUUUGUAAGUAGAGGUCCUGGUUGAAUGUAGCUGCUGGGGUGAGGGUUUCUAGUCCCUCAGGAGCGGAGCACUGGGCUCAAGACAGUGUGUCCUAUCCUACUACAGACUUCAUCUCUUUAAGAGGGGAACUGCAAUAUGUCCCCCUUGCGCCUCCCUCAGACGGCCGCACGUGUCUGUGUUCAGCCCAGAUGACUCUCAAGAAAUAGGUACCGUAAAAGACUAUGCAAAAAGAUGCAGUAUAGUUCUCGUCAUAUGAAGAAACAUACCAGACUGAUGCCAGUCAUGCCACCCUGGACUAGGAUUGGGUGUGGCCAUUGAAAUAUGACGUUCUUCUUUUAGACUGCUCUUGUGAAGAAUACAGCUUUGUUGACCAACUCGCACAGUAGUCGGACAGAAGCCAGUAUGCAGUUGACGAUUCUUCUCACAGCCUUCGCGGGGUUUUUUGGGGUCCUGCGCUCAGAGGCCGCUGCAGAUUCCACAGAGGUGCCGUCUCCCAGAAUCCUCCAGCCCCAUAGGUCCAAAAUAAGAGCUGUUAAAGGAGAGCAGUUGAUUAUUGAAUGUAAAGCAGACCCAGGCCUUCCUGAUGACUUUACCCAUGUCUACUGGCUGGUCAACAGCACCUUCCCAGAGGUAGCCUUCACUGAUGGCAGAGUAUCAGAAACAGAGGUAUCAGCCUCAGAGGACGGCAGGGUGAUCCAGAGGAGUCUGGUGUUAAAGAACGUGACUGCAGAGGAUUUUAAGUCCACUUUCACCUGUGUAAUAAGCAGCAUAGCUGGGCUUGACCGAAGGACUGUCACACUGAUGCCCAAUCACAAGGCUAGUUUUCCCUCAUUACCUCAUGUCCUCUCCCUUCGUCCUUCACUCACUCCCAACUCAAAACACCAGGGGAAACCGAGAAAGGAAUUUAAGAAGAAACCUAGCAAAAAGGAUCAGGGGAAAAAAAAAAACCACGCUAGCAAGAAAUUAGAUUAGAUGGAUGGUUUUAGUCCAGUACUUAACCCUUGUGUGGGUUAAUGAUACAAUUGAAUUAUGUUUUUUCAACCUGAGACAUGUCCUUGGCUAAUUUUCUAUGAAGAACAUGUAAAAUAACACUUUCAUUGAGUGCACACUGUGCACCCCCCUACACAUUUAUAUUACAUAUGUGGUGUUCUGGUCCACUGGACCCCCCUACACAUUUAUAUUACAUAUGUGGUGUUCGAGGCACUUUUAUUACCCUCGGGUCCAGUGAAUAUCUCCCACUUUUCUCCCACUUUGUAGUGUGAGAAACUACACUGUCUUGCGGGAACCUCCACAAAGUUAUUUCAAUACAUUGUAAAAAAUGCUGUAUUUUCCCACACUACCCCAGCCAGGUGCAAAUUGGGGGAGGGACACCUCAAAUAAAUAGCUUUGUAUGUGUGGCUCCUUUCCACAAUCAAACAGUAUGGCAAAAAUAAUCUCUGCUCAGAGGGCCUUAGAAAAUAUUUUUGCAGAGAGAGAAGGUAGUGUGGACGGAGCGUCUUCAACUUUGGAAGAUGAAACAUUUUCAGAAUAUGAGUAUCAAAUGUCUCUAGCAAGACGGAGUCUGACAGUGAGUUGGAAGAAGAGGAUGAGAUUGACCCUGAGCCAGCCCAUCAGCAGCCAGGACCAGCCUGUCAGCAACCAGCUCAUCAGCAGCCUGCAGGAGGAGAAAUGUGGAUGUAAAAAAAUUGAAGUUGAAUAGUCUUGCCAAGGAAUGAGCCACCCAGCAUGGCUGCCAGUGUGAUAAGGAUGCAACCAGGGCCAACGCGAAUGGCGGUUACUCAUGUGCAGUGGCGACUCGUCAUUCAGGGCAGGUUAGGCAGAGCCUCCAGUGUUACUGUGUUUUGAGCCACAUAUUUUAAGCAACAAAAAAAAAACAGGCUUGCCUGUUUUGCAUGUUAUUUUGGCAUUAAUACGUGUCACAUCAGUUUUCACAAUGUACCAAAUAUAUAUCAUUGAGUUAAUAAAGCCACAUACAAACAAA